UACGGAGGGUGCAAGCGUUAUCCGGAUUCACUGGGUUUAAAGGGUGCGUAGGCGGAUAGGGAAGUCCGUGGUGAAAUCCUGCAGCUUAACUGCAGAACUGCCGUGGAUACUCUUCUAUUCUUGAAUAUCGUGGAGGUUAGCGGAAUAUGUCAUGUAGCGGAUGAAAUGUCUUAGAUAUGACAUACGAACACCCAAUUGCGAAGGCAGCUAACUACGCGAUCAUUGACGCUGAUGCACGAAAGCGUGGGGAUCAAACAGG
rnacentral:rRNA from 1 species